UCCGCCGUAGCUCAAUCAGGCAGAGCACUAGGUCGUCAACCUAGCGGUUGUGGGUUCGAUUCCCACCGGCGGAG
rnacentral:tRNA from 1 species